rnacentral:misc_RNA from 1 species
GAUGAAGAACGCAGCGAAAUGCGAUAAGUAAUGUGAAGUGCAGAAUUCAGUGAAUCAUCGAAUCUUUGAACGCACAUUGCGCCCUCUGGUAUUCCGGGGGGCAUGCCUGUUCGAGCGUCAUUAUAACCACUCAAGCUCUCGCUUGGUAUUGGGGUUCGCGGUUUCGCGGCCCCUAAAAUCAGUGGCGGUGCCUGUCGGCUCUACGCGUAGUAAUACUCCUCGCGAUUGAGUCCGGUAGGUCUACUUGCCAGCAACCCCUAAUUUUUUUAAGGUUGACCUCGGAUCAGGUAGGGAUACCCGCUGAACUUAAGCAUAUCAAUAAGCGGAGGA